rnacentral:lncRNA from 1 species
CUUGGAGCCCUAAGGUACUACAUUAGAAGUGCAACUACACUGAAACCACCACUCUACGAGGAAGCCAAAACCCCAUGGACAAGUCACUUGCAGCUGUUACAGUAGACAGUCUUAGCUGAGCAGACUUUGAGCAUCCUAACCUGGACACUGACACAAAGCCCAACAAGUAUAAUUGGGGCCUUGCAUUUUGAAUUCUGAUAUUGCCAAACUGUCUUCACCCAAUGGACACUCCUGCCAGCAGCACGUGAGAAUUCCUGUUUCCUGAUCUGCACCAACAUAAUCCUAGAUCUGUUCAGAUAUUGGAUAACCUGGUGCCUCGUUAAGGGUCCAGCCCCAGCCCCAAGAGACUCAAGUUCUGGGUGACCCGCUUACCCAAAAUGCUUCCCAGAAGCAGAGUCUGCUGGUGACCCACUCCACUUGGCAUGGAUCAAAUGGCAACCAUUCUGCAGAAAGGGCCGACUGAGACAAGAACAUGAAGACCAGAGUCUACACACCCAGAUUACAAAGAGACAAUGUUGGAAAGAGAGAGUUUAAAAGACAGUCCUGUACCCAAAAGGUCCUAUAUCCCUUUCACAAGAUUUAGUCCAGCUCGUUAUGGAAGCAACCUCCAGCAGCUAAUUGGUAUUGCAGUGCUUCUGAGCUGUGACCUAAAAAAAGGGGGAGAUGUGAAAGCCAAAUAAAGUGACAUAAAGAAAUUCC